rnacentral:rRNA from 1 species
CUUGCUCUGUGGGAUCAGUGGCGAACGGGUGAGUAACACGUGAGCAACCUGCCCCUGACUCUGGGAUAAGCGCUGGAAACGGCGUCUAAUACUGGAUAUGUGACGUGACCGCAUGGUCUGCGUUUGGAAAGAUUUUUCGGUUGGGGAUGGGCUCGCGGCCUAUCAGCUUGUUGGUGAGGUAAUGGCUCACCAAGGCGUCGACGGGUAGCCGGCCUGAGAGGGUGACCGGCCACACUGGGACUGAGACACGGCCCAGACUCCUACGGGAGGCAGCAGUGGGGAAUAUUGCACAAUGGGCGAAAGCCUGAUGCAGCAACGCCGCGUGAGGGAUGACGGCCUUCGGGUUGUAAACCUCUUUUAGCAGGGAAGAAGCGAAAGUGACGGUACCUGCAGAAAAAGCGCCGGCUAACUACGUGCCAGCAGCCGCGGUAAUACGUAGGGCGCAAGCGUUAUCCGGAAUUAUUGGGCGUAAAGAGCUCGUAGGCGGUUUGUCGCGUCUGCUGUGAAAUCCCGAGGCUCAACCUCGGGCCUGCAGUGGGUACGGGCAGACUAG